UUUGGCGCAGGAUGAACGCUAGCUACAGGCUUAACACAUGCCUGUCGAGGGGAAACGACAUCGAAAGCUUGCUUUUGAUGGGCGUCGACCGGCGCACGGGUGAGUAACGCGUAUCCAACCUGCCCACCACUUGGGGAUAACCUUGCGAAAGUAAGACUAAUACCCAAUGACGUCUCUAGAAGACACCUGAAAGAGAUUAAAGAUUUAUCGGUGAUGGAUGGGGAUGCGUCUGAUUAGCUUGUUGGCGGGGUAACGGCCCACCAAGGCAACGAUCAGUAGGGGUUCUGAGAGGAAGGUCCCCCACAUUGGAACUGAGACACGGUCCAAACUCCUACGGGAGGCAGCAGUGAGGAAUAUUGGUCAAUGGACGAGAGUCUGAACCAGCCAAGUAGCGUGCAGGAUGACGGCCCUAUGGGUUGUAAACUGCUUUUAUAAGGGAAUAAAGUGAGUCUCGUGAGACUUUUUGCAUGUACCUUAUGAAUAAGGACCGGCUAAUUCCGUGCCAGCAGCCGCGGUAAUACGGAAGGUCCGGGCGUUAUCCGGAUUUAUUGGGUUUAAAGGGAGCGUAGGCCGGAGAUUAAGCGUGUUGUGAAAUGUAGACGCUCAACGUCUGCACUGCAGCGCGAACUGGUUUCCUUGAGUACGCACAAAGUGGGCGGAAUUCGUGGUGUAGCGGUGAAAUGCUUAGAUAUCGCGAAGAACUCCGAUUGCGAAGGCAGCUCGCUGGAGCGCAACUGACGCUGAAGCUCGAAAGUGCGGGUAUCGAACAGGAUUAGAUACCCUGGUAGUCCGCACGGUAAACGAUGGAUGCCCGCUGUUGGUCUGAAUAGGUCAGCGGCCAAGCGAAAGCAUUAAGCAUCCCACCUGGGGAGUACGCCGGCAACGGUGCAACUCAAAUGAAUUGACGGA
rnacentral:rRNA from 2 species